UACGUAGGGUCCGAGCGUUGUCCGGAAUUACUGGGCGGAAAGAGCUCGUAGGUGGUUUGUCGCGUUGUUCGUGAAAACUCACAGCUCAACUGUGGGCGUGCGGGCGAUACGGGCAGACUUGAGUACUGCAGGGGAGACUGGAAUUCCUGGUGUAGCGGUGGAAUGCGCAGAUAUCAGGAGGAACACCGGUGGCGAAGGCGGGUCUCUGGGCAGUAACUGACGCUGAGGAGCGAAAGCGUGGGGAGCGAACAGG
rnacentral:rRNA from 1 species